rnacentral:rRNA from 1 species
CCUACGGGAGGCAGCAGUGGGGAAUAUUGCGCAAUGGGCGAAAGCCUGACGCAGCGACGCCGCGUGAGGGAUGAAGGUCUUCGGAUCGUAAACCUCUGUCAGCAGGGAAGAACGGUCACUGUGCUAAUCAGCAGUGAAUUGACGGUACCUGCAAAGGAAGCACCGGCUAACUCCGUGCCAGCAGCCGCGGUAAUACGGAGGGUGCGAGCGUUAAUCGGAAUUACUGGGCGUAAAGCGCUCGUAGGCGGUAUGUCAAGUCAAGGGUGAAAUCCCCGCGCUCAACGUGGGAACUGCCUUUGAAACUGGCAAACUGGAGUGUGUGAGAGGAUAGUGGAAUUCCAGGUGUAGGAGUGAAAUGCGUAGAGAUCUGGAGGAACAUCAGUGGCGAAGGCGACUAUCUGGCACAUAACUGACGCUGAGGAGCGAAAGCGUGGGUAGCAAACAGGAUUAGAUACCCGGGUAGUC